CGCCAGAUAGCUCAGUUGGUAGAGAUUCAGGGGGCCCGGGUUCGAAUCCCGGUCUGGUCC
rnacentral:tRNA from 1 species